rnacentral:rRNA from 1 species
AUAUCAAUAAGCGGAGGAAAAGAAACCAACAGGGAUUGCCCCAGUAACGGCGAGUGAAGCGGCAACAGCUCAAAUUUGAAAUCUGGCUCUCGGGCCCGAGUUGUAAUUUGCAGAGGAUGCUUCGGGCGCGGUGCCUUCCAAGUCCCCUGGAACGGGGCGCCACAGAGGGUGAGAGCCCCGUAUGGUCGGCCGCCAAGCCUGUGUGAAGCUCCUUCGACGAGUCGAGUAGUUUGGGAAUGCUGCUCUAAAUGGGAGGUAGACCCCUUCUAAAGCUAAAUACCGGCCAGAGACCGAUAGCGCACAAGUAGAGUGAUCGAAAGAUGAAAAGCACUUUGAAAAGAGGGUUAAACAGUACGUGAAAUUGUUGAAAGGGAAGCGCUUGUGACCAGACGUGCGCCGGGCGCUCAGCGGGCGUUCUCGCCCGUGUAUUCGCCCCGGCGCAGGCCAGCGUCGGUUUGGGCGGGGGGACAAAGGCACCAGGAACGUGGCUCCCUCGGGAGUGUUAUAGCCUGGAGCGCCAUGCCCCCGCCCGGACCGAGGUUCGCGCUCCGCAAGGACGCUGGCGUAAUGGUCCCCAGCGG